rnacentral:rRNA from 1 species
UACAGAGGGGGCUAGCGUUGUUCGGAAUUACUGGGCGUAAAGGGUGCGUAGGCGGUUUAUUAAGUUAGAAGUGAAAUCCCGGAGCUUAACUUCGGAAUUGCUUUUAAUACUGAUAAGCUAGAGAUUGGUAGGGGAUAGUGGAAUUCCUAGUGUAGGAGUGAAAUCCGUAGAUAUUAGGAGGAACACCAGUGGCGAAGGCGGCUAUCUGGACCAAUACUGACGCUGAGGCACGAAAGUGUGGGGAGCAAACAGG